rnacentral:rRNA from 1 species
GACCGCUAAUACCCCAUAUGCCGAGAGGUGAAACGAAAUUCGCCUGAGGAUGAGCCCGCGUCUGAUUAGCUAGUUGGUGGGGUAAAGGCCUACCAAGGCAUCGAUCAGUAGCUGGUCUGAGAGGAUGAUCAGCCACACUGGGANUGAGACACGGCCCAGACUCCUACGGGAGGCAGCAGUGGGGAAUUUUCCGCAAUGGGCGCAAGCCUGACGGAGCAACGCCGCGUGAGGGAUGAAGGCCUCUGGGCUGUAAACCUCUUUUCUCAAGGAAGAAGAUCUGACGGUACUUGAGGAAUAAGCCACGGCUAAUUCCGUGCCAGCAGCCGCGGUAAUACGGGAGUGGCAAGCGUUAUCCGGAAUUAUUGGGCGUAAAGCGUCCGCAGGCGGCCUUGAAAGUCUGUCGUUAAAGCGUGGAGCUUAACUCCAUUUCGGCGGUGGAAACUACAAGGCUUGAGUGUGGUAGGGGCAGAGGGAAUUCCCGGUGUAGCGNUGAAAUGCGUAGAUAUCGGGAAGAACACCAGUGGCGAAGGCGCUCUGCUGGGCCAUAACUGACGCUCAUGGACGAAAGCUAGGGGAGCGAAAGGGAUUAGAUACCCCUG